rnacentral:tRNA from 3 species
GCCGAAGUGGCGAAAUUGGUAGACGCACUGGACUCAAAAUCCAGCGAACCUCGGUUCGUGCCGGUUCGAGUCCGGCCUUCGGCACCA